AGAUUGAACGCUGGCGGCAUGCCUUACACAUGCAAGUCGAACGGCAGCACGGGAGCAAUCCUGGUGGCGAGUGGCGAACGGGUGAGUAAUAUAUCGGAACGUGCCCAGUAGUGGGGGAUAGCCCGGCGAAAGCCGGAUUAAUACCGCAUACGACCUACGGGUGAAAGCGGGGGAUCGCAAGACCUCGCGCUAUUGGAGCGGCCGAUAUCAGAUUAGCUUGUUGGUGGGGUAAAAGCCUACCAAGGCGACGAUCUGUAGCUGGUCUGAGAGGACGACCAGCCACACUGGGACUGAGACACGGCCCAGACUCCUACGGGAGCAGCAGUGGGGAAUUUUGGACAAGUGGGCGCAAGCCUGACUCCAGCCAUGCCGCGUGUGUGAAGAAGGCCUU
rnacentral:rRNA from 1 species